GAUGAACGCUGGCGGCGUGCCUAAUACAUGCAAGUCGAGCGAACAGACGAGGAGCUUGCUCCUCUGACGUUAGCGGCGGACGGGUGAGUAACACGUGGAUAACCUACCUAUAAGACUGGGAUAACUUCGGGAAACCGGAGCUAAUACCGGAUAAUAUAUUGAACCGCAUGGUUCAAUAGUGAAAGCCGGUUUUGCUGUCACUUAUAGAUGGAUCCGCGCCGCAUUAGCUAGUUGGUAAGGUAACGGCUUACCAAGGCAACGAUGCGUAGCCGACCUGAGAGGGUGAUCAGCCACACUGGAACUGAGACACGGUCCAGACUCCUACGGGAGGCAGCAGUAGGGAAUCUUCCGCAAUGGGCGCAAGCCUGACGGAGCAACGCCGCGUGAGUGAUGAAGGUCUUCGGAUCGUAAAGCUCUGUUAUUAGGGAAGAACAAAUGUGUAAGUAACUACGCACGUCUUGACGGUACCUAAUCAGAAAGCCACGGCUAACUACGUG
rnacentral:rRNA from 1 species